rnacentral:rRNA from 1 species
UACGGAGGGUGCGAGCGUUGUCCGGAAUCAUUGGGCGUAAAGGGCGCGUAGGGGGCGCGGCAAGCGUGCGGUGAAAGCUCGGGGCUCAACCCCGAGUCGGCCGUGCGAACUGCUGUGCUUGAGCACUGUAGAGGCAGGCGGAAUUCCGGGUGUAGCGGUGGAAUGCGUAGAGAUCCGGAAGAACACCGGUGGCGAAGGCGGCCUGCUGGGCAGUGGCUGACACUGAGGCGCGACAGCGUGGGGAGCAAACAGG